rnacentral:lncRNA from 1 species
GAUUUUAUGUGAAGAUAUUUCCUUUUCUGCCAUAGGCUGCAAGUUUUUAUUUGAAGAUAUUUCCUUUUCCACUAUAGGCUGCAAGGGGCUCCAAAUAUCCACUUGCAGCUUCUACAAAAAGAGAGAUUUAAAACUGCUCAAUCAAAAAAAUAUUUUCAACUCUGUGUUAAAUGCACACAUCACAAAGAAGUUUCUAAGAAAGCUUCUGUGUAGUUUUUAUAUGAAGAUAUUUCUUUUUCCACCAUAGGCCUAAAAGCCCUCCAAAUAUUCACUUGCAG